CUGACCUCAGAGGUGCCGCAGGCGUCGGUAUCUUUCCCCGCAAGGUUUUUGGUGAGUUUUCCGCAACCUGUGUCUUCUGUGAUCUGCACUGAUCCUGAGAGUCCUGCGCAAGACUCGGGGAGACCCAGGAAACCUAGAAAUGGACUCCCUGGCUUUUGAGGAUGUGUCUGUGAACUUCAGUCUGGAGGAGUGGGCUUUACUGGAUCCUUCACAGAAGAAGCUCUAUAGAGAUGUAAUGACAGAAACCUUCAGGAACCUGGCCUCCAUAGG